UGGUACCGUCAUCCCCAGCCUCUAUUAAAGGCUGGUCUUUCUUCCCACUUAACAGGAGUUUACGAUCCUAAAACCUUCAUCCCCCACGCGGCGUCGCUGCGUCAGGCUUUCGCCCAUUGCGCAAUAUUCCCGC
rnacentral:rRNA from 1 species